GACGAACCGUGCGAACGUUGUUCGGAAUCACUGGGCUUAAAGGGCGCGUAGGCGGGCGGUCAAGUCAGAGGUGAAAUCCCACGGCUCAACCGUGGAAGUGCCCCUGAUACUGAUCGUCUCGAGGGAGGUAGGGGCGUGCGGAACUUCCGGUGGAGCGGUGAAAUGCGUAGAUAUCGGAAGGAACACCGAUGGCGAAAGCAGCGCGCUGGAUCUCUACUGACGCUGAGGCGCGAAAGCCGGGGAGCAAAGCGGG
rnacentral:rRNA from 1 species